rnacentral:rRNA from 1 species
UACAGAGGGUGCGAGCGUUAAUCGGAAUUACUGGGCGUAAAGCGCGCGUAGGCGGCUUUGCAAGUCGGGUGUGAAAUCCCCAGGCUCAACCUGGGAACUGCAUUCGAGACUGCAUUGCUAGAGUAUGGGAGAGGGAAGUGGAAUUUCCGGUGUAGCGGUGAAAUGCGUAGAUAUCGGAAGGAACAUCAGUGGCGAAGGCGACUUCCUGGACCAAUACUGACGCUCAGGUGCGAAAGCGUGGGGAGCAAACAGG